GUGAACGCUGGCGGUAGGCCUAACCCAUGCAAGUCGAACGGCAGCACAGUAAGAGCUUGCUCUUACGGGUGGCGAGUGGCGGACGGGUGAGGAAUACAUCGGAAUCUACUUUUUCGUGGGGGAUAACGUAGGGAAACUUACGCUAAUACCGCAUACGACCUACGGGUGAAAGCAGGGGAUCUUCGGACCUUGCGCGAUUGAAUGAGCCGAUGUCGGAUUAGCUAGUUGGCGGGGUAAAGGCCCACCAAGGCGACGAUCCGUAGCUGGUCUGAGAGGAUGAUCAGCCACACUGGAACUGAGACACGGUCCAGGCUCCUACGGGAGGCAGCAGUGGGGAAUAUUGGACAAUGGGCGCAAGCCUGAUCCAGCCAUACCGCGUGGGUGAAGAAGGCCUUCGGGUUGUAAAGCCCUUUUGUUGGGAAAGAAAAGCAGCAGGUUAAUACCCCGCUGUUCUGACGGUACCCAAAGAAUAAGCACCGGCUAACUUCGUG
rnacentral:rRNA from 1 species